UUGGACAUGGGCGCAAGCCUGNCCAGCAAUACCGCGUGUGUGAAGAAGGCCCUAGGGUUGUAAAGCACUUUCAAUUGGGAGGAAAACCUGCCGGUUAAUACCCGGUAGCUUGACAUUACCUAUAGAAGAAGCACCGGCUAACUCCGUGCCAGCAGCCGCGGUAAUACGGAGGGUGCGAGCGUUAAUCGGAAUUACUNGGGCGUAAAGCGUGCGUAGGCGGUUCGUUAAGUCAGAUGUGAAAGCCCCGGGCUUAACCUGGGGACGGCAUUUGAAACUGGCGGACUGGAGUUGAGUAGAGGGGAGUGGAAUUUCAGGUGUAGCGGUGAAAUGCGUAGAUAUCUGAAGGAACACCAGUGGCGAAGGCGACUCCCUGGACUCAAACUGACGCUGAGGUACGAAAGCGUGGGUAGCAAACAGGAUUAGAUACCCUGGUAGUCCACGCUGUAAACGAUGUCAACUAGCCGUUGGUCCUAUUUACAGGAUUAGUGGCGCAGCUAACGCAUUAAGUUGACCGCCUGGGGAGUACGGCCGCAAGGUUAAAACUCAAAAAAAUUGACGGA
rnacentral:rRNA from 1 species